UAAAUACCCGAGUAGUCCUGACUGUAAACGCUGUGAGCAAGGUGUUGCAUAUUCUUAGGGAGUAUGCAGUGUCGAAACGAAGGUGUUAAGCUCACCGCCUGGGAAGUAUGGUCGCAAGACUGAAACUUAAAGGAAUUGGCGGGGGAGCACCACAAGGGGUGCGGCGUGCGGUUUAAUCUAAUUCAACACAGAGAACCUCACCAGAGGCGACGGCAGAAUGAAAGUCAAGCUAAAGACUUUACUUGACAAGCCGAGAGGUAGUGCAUGGCCGCCGUCAGCUCGUGCCGUAAGGUGUCCUGUUAAGUCAGGCAACGAGCAAGACCUGCGCUUACAAUUGCCAGCAGCUGUUUUCAGGACUGGGCACAUUGUAAGGACUGCCUAUGAAAAUAGGAGGAAGGUGCAGGCAACGGUAGGUCUGUAUGCUCCGAAUCCUCUGGGCUACACGCGCGCAACAAUGGUAUGGACAAUGGGCUACGAUUCCGAAAGGAAAAGUUAAACCUCUAAACCAUAUCUUAGUCCGGAUUGAGGACUGCAACUCGUCCUCGUGACGACGGAAU
rnacentral:rRNA from 1 species